rnacentral:rRNA from 1 species
CAAAACAGUUUGCAGCCAUACCACCCUGAGCACACCCAAUCUCAUCUGACCUUGGAAGCUAAGCAAAGUUGGACCUGGUUAGUCCUUGAAUGGGGGACCACCUGGGACUAUUAGGUACUGUUUUGG